rnacentral:rRNA from 1 species
GAUGAACGCUGGCGGUAUGCUUAACACAUGCAAGUCGAACGGACUCUUCGGAGUUAGUGGCGGACGGGUGAGUAACGCGUGAGGAUCUGGCUUUGGGUUCGGGACAACCACUGGAAACGGUGGCUAAUACCGGAUGUGCCGAGAGGUAAAAGAGAAAUUGCCUGAAGAUGAGCUCGCGUCUGAUUAGCUAGUUGGUGAGGUAAGGGCUCACCAAGGCAGCGAUCAGUAGCUGGUCUGAGAGGAUGACCAGCCACACUGGGACUGAGACACGGCCCAGACUCCUACGGGAGGCAGCAGUGGGGAAUUUUCCGCAAUGGGCGAAAGCCUGACGGAGCAAUACCGCGUGAGGGAAGAAGGCUCUUGGGUUGUAAACCUCUUUUCUUAGGGAAGAACAAAAUGACGGUACCUAAGGAAUCAGCAUCGGCUAACUCCGUG